CACAGAGAAACACCUAGUUUUGUUAUCUCUGUGUUGGGUUUUGCAGUGUAACUACAACAUGGCUGUAUCACUAUCUUCCCCAUUCCACUGCUCUCCCACCACCAACACUCUCCGUCUCCGAUCACCGCCAAAACCCACUUUCGUCACUCUCCGCCGCACUUGCGUGGCGGCGACCGCUGCCACUGACACUUCACAGAGUCCUCUGCUCCAAGUCAAUGAUCUCAAGGCUAAGAUCGUCGGAGAACACAAGGACCUUCUCAAAGGCCUCAACCUCACCAUCAACAGAGGAGAGGUUCACGCUCUCAUGGGAGCAAACGGUUCUGGAAAGAGCACUUUUGCCAAGGUUCUUGUUGGGCACCCGGAUUAUGAGGUCACCGGAGGUAGAGCUGUGUACAAAGGGGAGAAUCUGCUUGACAUGGAACCGGUGGAUAGGUCACUUGCUGGUAUUUUCAUGAGUUUCCAGUCCCCUGUUGAGAUUCCUGGUGUUAGUAAUUAUGAUUUUCUCCUAAUGGCUUACAAUGCUAGAAGGAAAAAAUCUGGCCUCCCUGAGCUUGGAGCAAUUGAGUUCUUGACUCAUUUCAUGGAGAAAACCAAACUUGUUAACAUGAAGGAAGGAUUCCAAAAUAGGAAUGUCAAUGAAGGAUUUAGUGGUGGUGAAAAGAAACGCAAUGAAAUUUUGCAGCUCGCGGUUUUUGGUGCAGACUUGAUUAUUCUGGAUGAAAUUGAUUCUGGAUUGGAUGUGGAUGCGCUCAGGGAUGUGACGAAUGCAGUUAAACAGAUUCUGACCAAAGAUACUUCUCUAUUGAUCAUAACUCAUUAUCGACGAGUCCUGGAUCUAUUGAAUCCUGAAAGGGUCCAUGUUUUGGAGGAAGGGAAAAUUACAAGGAGUGGCGGCAUGGAGAUCGUAGAAUCUAUUGAAGCAGAUGGAUUUGGAAAAGUCACCGCUAGAACUUAAUACAGCUGCCAUCUGUUUCCUUUCUGAAUUUGGUGCCUUUCUCUGUAUUAACAUGCUAGAAGAUAAGAAAACUUUGAAUCCCAGUGCAUCAACAUUAGUCUCUCAUUUCAUCGCUCCAGAUAAUGAGCAUAGUUUGGGUGCACUAGUAGAUAAGUAAGCAGUGUUGUAGAUGAGUGAAGCAGUAGAACAUAUAUUCUAAUGGCUCCUUCCAUUUCCUCCCCCUCCUCUCGGUAAAACUGAAGUAGCAGGCUGUGUAAAGCUCAUUUUGGCGGAUUUUAUUUAUUGAAUCAGAUUCUUCUGGAUAGCUCCUUCCAUUUCCUCCCCCUUCUGUGUAGGUGGAUUUUUUUAUUUACUGAAUUGGGUUCUUCUGACGUUUCCACAGGAUCUGAUUAAAAAGAGUAUUGAACCAUUGAAUUAUGCAUUUAACAACUUAUCAAUGGAGAUCUGUAAUAUACAGAUUUUGAAAGUUUUGUUGUUUGUCUUUCUAUAAGUUUGAAGUAUUGUUUCCAAGCCCAGCAGUGAGAAAAGACUUGGUCAUUAUUGUAUUGGAAGAAUUGUUAGGUAUUCUACGAACUUUUGGUUUUGCAUAAAUUGUGCCAAGUUCGCAGCUACUGGAGUUUGAUUUGUAAUUCCUUCAGUAAAAAAAAGUACUAAAUUUUCCUGAAUUUAGGGAUCUUUCGGAA